rnacentral:rRNA from 1 species
UACGUAGGUGGCAAGCGUUGUCCGGAUUUACUGGGCGUAAAGAGCGCGCAGGCGGUCGUUCAAGUCGCGUGUGAAAGCCCCCGGCUCAACUGGGGAGGGUCACGCGAUACUGAUCGACUCGAAGGCAGGAGAGGGAAGUGGAAUUCCCGGUGUAGUGGUGAAAUGCGUAGAUAUCGGGAGGAACCCCAGUGGCGAAGGCGACUUCCUGGCCUGUUCUUGACGCUGAGGCGCGGAAGGUAGGGGAGCAAACGGG